GCCAGACUCCUACGGGAGGCAGCAGUGGGGAAUAUUGCACAAUGGGGGAAACCCUGAUGCAGCGACGCCGCGUGAGUGAAGAAGUAUUUCGGUAUGUAAAGCUCUAUCAGCAGGGAAGAAAAUGACGGUACCUGACCAAGAAGCCCCGGCUAACUACGUGCCAGCAGCCGCGGUAAUACGUAGGGGGCAAGCGUUAUCCGGAUUUACUGGGUGUAAAGGGAGCGUAGACGGUGAUGCAAGUCAGAAGUGAAAGCCCGGGGCUCAACUCCGGGACUGCUUUUGAAACUGUGUAACUGGAGUGCAGGAGAGGUAAGCGGAAUUCCCAGUGUAGCGGUGAAAUGCGUAGAUAUUAGGAGGAACACCAGUGGCGAAGGCGGCUUACUGGACUGUAACUGACGUUGAGGCUCGAAAGCGUGGGGAGCAAACAGGAUUAGAUACCCUAGUA
rnacentral:rRNA from 1 species